AAAUUGACAGUUGGACCCCUGAUGAUGGCAGAUCUGUCAUAAUAACUAGAUCUAUUGAAAAGGAAUUAAAAUAUAAAUAUAUCAAUAUAAACAUGAAUAAUUUUCAUAUUUGAUUAUAUUCAAAUAAUGCAUCUUAAAAUGACAAUCCAAAGCUUAACUGCGGAAACACGAAAUUAUUUGUGUUGGGUCCUAUCAUGCAAUAUGGGAUGCGUGGUUGCAUGGGUAUU
rnacentral:lncRNA from 1 species